CUUUAAAGAUGGUCAAAAUUCUUUGACAUUAUCUCAUCAAGAGGUGGUGUCAAUGUCCUUCUUUCCCAGAAUCUGGGUGGGCUCAGAGACUGCUUUGACCAAUAAAGCAUAGUGGAAGUAAAACUGUGCCAGUGUCUCGGGCUCAGGCUGAAAGAGACUGGCAGCUUUCACUUCCUGUCUUUUGAAAGUCUCUUGAACUUCGGACCUGGGGGAAGCCAGCUGCCGAGUGAGAAGUCUGACUAUCCGGAGAUGGCGGUGAGUAUAGAGAAUUUCUGCUAGGUCUCCUGUGUUUCAGCCAUCCCAGCCCAGGCACCACGACACAUUAUCAAAGGACUAUCUUGGACCUUCUCAUCCCAGCAAACAUCCAAUGGAGAAGAAUGAAGACUCCAGGCAUAUGAUCCCACUCUAGCCAUCCCAGGAGCCCCCAGCUAUCCAAACAACUACAGCUGUGGCCAAAAACAUCGUGUAUCAGGGACAAACUCUCUGCUUAUGGCUGCUCUAAUCCUUGACCUACAGAAUCAUGAAAUUUGUGGAUACGGUCAUGAUCUUGAUUUUGGCGAUGGUUUCACAGGUCAGAUGUACGUGAUGGUUACCAUUAUAACUACAUACUAUGAAAGAUUAAUCAGUGGAAAAAAACAAGUUAAAGACACACAAAAAACUUCAGAGAAUCAACUUCUGGUCAAAAAAGCCCUCCUUUAGCCAACUCUAAACCUCAUUCAACCAAUAUUCUCUAUAGUCUUAGAAAGCAUUCAGAAGACAUAAUAUUUUUUAAGGACUUCAAGCAGCAAAUGGCAGAAGUGACAAGAAUUGAAAAUAGAGGAAAAUUUUGUUUUGUUUAAAGAAUUCUAAUUUUAAUAAUGGGAAGUAUGCAUCCAUAUUUAUGCCAGAUUCAUAUAUAUGAAAUAUAUAUAUAUAUAUAUAUAUAUAUAUUUCAUGUAAAUGUACUUUUGCUAAUGAAAUAGGAAUUCAGGACAAUAAGAAGGUCUAGAGGAAGCACCCUUUAUGAGUAAUUGGUUUCAAUGUUCGUAUUCUUGAUCUAAACAAUAAAAAAUCAAAACUGCAUUUUCUCAAUGAAUAUGUUUUUCUCUGUUUUAAGUCUCAAGAAGUUAUGGUAGAAAUGCUUUACAGAAAAUAUUUUUCAAGCCCGGCAUGGUGGCUCAUGCCUGUAAUCCCAGCACUUUGGGAGACUGAGGCAGGCAGAUCACUUGAGGUCAGGAGUUCAAGACCAGCCUUUCCAACAUGGUGAGAACUUGUCUCUACUAAAAAUAAAAAAAAAAAUUAGCCUGGCAUGGUGAUGCACACCUGUAAUCCCAGCUACUUGGGAGGCCGAGGCACGAGAAUCACUUGAACCCAGGAGGUGGAGGUUGCAGUGGGCUGAGAUGGCACCACUGCACUACAGCCUGGGUGACAGAGCAAGUAAGACUCUGUCUCAAGGAAAAAAAAAUCUUUUUCAUAUGAUAAUACUACAGCUAGAAAGCUAGAAUUCUUUCUUACUGAUUGUUAUAUUAAGUCCUUCCUGUUCACUAAACAUUACUAAGCAUGAAAAAAAUCUUUGUGCUGUGGUAAGAAUGCUGAAAAAUGUAUAAUUCAAAUCCAGAUAUAUGAAUAACAACUUCUCACUAUAGUUUGGAAAAUAAACUAGUAUUGGUAUAUUUUUUGUUUGUUUUAAAUAAACUCAUCACUGGAGUUCUAGU
rnacentral:lncRNA from 1 species